UACGUAGGGUGCGAGCGUUGUCCGGAAUUAUUGGGCGUAAAGGGUGCGUAGGCGGCCUGACAAGUCUGAUGUGAAAUCCCUGGGCUCAACCCAGGGCCUGCAUCGGAAACUGUCGGGCUUGAGUAUGGGAGAGGUGAGUGGAAUUUCCGGUGUAGCGGUGAAAUGCGUAGAUAUCGGAAGGAACACCUGUGGCGAAAGCGGCUCACUGGACCAUUACUGACGCUGAGGCACGAAAGCUAGGGGAGCAAACAGG
rnacentral:rRNA from 1 species